rfam:Drosophila grimshawi strain TSC#15287-2541.00 scaffold_15245 genomic scaffold, whole genome shotgun sequence.
AAGCGUGCCCAGAUACCGCAUUGUUGCGCGGAGACUUCAGCUCAAUGCCCACCAAGUGCACGCAUAUCAAAGUGUUCUCCGAUGAGCCUGCAUAGUUGAGUUCCAAUGCAGGAACAGAUACGGAACAUAUAAAU